rnacentral:rRNA from 1 species
GGGGGGGGGGGGGGGGGGGGGGGGGGGGGGGGGGGGGGGCGGGCGGGCGGGGGGGGGGGGGGGGGGGCGUGAGCGGGGGACGGGGGGGGGGCACGGGGAUAGCCGGCCUGUGGGGCUGGGGGCACUUCGGGAGAGCGGGGCUAAUACCGGAUGGUAUAUUGAACCGCGUGGUUCAGUAGUGCACUACGGUUUUCAGGGCCCUUAUCGAGGGAUCCGCGCCGCAUUAGCUAGUUGGUAAGGUAACGGCUUACCAAGGCAACGAUGCGUAGCCGACCUGAGAGGGUGAUCGGCCACACUGGAACGGAGACACGGUCCAGACUCCUACGGGAGGCAGCAGUAGGGAAUCUUCCGCAAUGGGCGAAAGCCUGACGGAGCAACGCCGCGUGAGUGAUGAAGGUCUUCGGAUCGUAAAGCUCUGUUAUUAGGGAAGAACAAAUGUGUAAGUAACUAUGCACGUCUUGACGGUACCUAAUCAGAAAGCAACGGCUAACUACGUG